GAUGGCUCCACAGCAGGUCAAGUCAUCUAGGGUUGCUGCACCAAAUCUGUGGCAGAAAGAUGGAGUAGAUCUAGAAAAAAACCAACCUCAGAAAGCAGUCUAAUAUCACGUGCUAUCCUUGCCGGAUCAGUUGGUGGUUUUGUCCUUGAUCAGGUUGUUCGGCUUGCUUCAGAGGUCGAGAAAACUACAGUGUCAGGAAGCAGCAGGGUGUUUUCAUAUUUCCCCACAAAUGCAAGUUCAUCCAGGAGUUACAUUUGAUUGAUUUGUUUUCUAUGGUUCCAAGAUCAAU
rnacentral:misc_RNA from 1 species